AGAAGCUGAAAGGCAGAACUGGAGACUGAACUUCCCUGGCCUGAGUGAGCAUGAAGUUGACUGAGCACUGGCACAGGUUGUCCAGAGGCUGUGGAGUCUUCAGAAGAUCUUCAAAAGCCAUUUCAAAGAUCUGCAAAAGCUGCCUGGAUUUGGUCCAGACCCCCUGCUCUGGGUGUCCCUGCUGGAGCAGGGGUUGGACCGGAUGGAUCCAGAGGUCCCUGCCCACCUCAACCUUUGUGUGACCUGAGCCCACUUAUCAGUGGUGACAUGAUGAAUUCUUCUGUGGUUGGUGUACUGAAUGAGAUAAUGUAAAACUGCUGCAGGAGUGUCUUUGUUCUACUCAUGAAGAUCCUUUAGCUUGAACCAAAUGUGCAACUAAAGUAGGGCCAUUAGAGACUCUCCAAUUAACAAGCUUCACCCAUAAUCCAAGGCAAAAACCAUGAAUAAAAAAAAAAACAAAACACUUAAAUCUCCAUGGUGUUUCUAUUUACUUGUCUAUUUGGAGGCUGGAAGUGUUCUGCCUGUGAUCAAGGAUUGCCUGUGUUUGAAUUAAAGAUGUAGAACUGUAGCAGUUAUUAAACAGACUGUGUGCUGAUUAUUGACAAAUGACAUUUUGUUAGCAUAAAAACAUGUCUUUUAUGAGAGAUGCUGAAUCAAGAUGACUCAAGAGAAUAAAGUAGGCCACUUCACAGAUAGCUCAG
ensembl:lncRNA